GGAGAGAUGCUAGAGUGGUCGAAUAGGACAGUCUCGAAAACUGUUGUAUCGGAAACGGUACCGUGGGUUCGAAUCCCACUCUCUCCGCCA
rnacentral:tRNA from 1 species